rnacentral:rRNA from 1 species
UGCGUAGGGUGCAAGCGUUGUCCGGAAUUAUUGGGCGUAAAGAGCUUGUAGGCGGUUUGUCGCGUCUGCUGUGAAAUUUCGGGGCUCAACCCCGAACUUGCAGUGGGUACGGGCAGACUAGAGUGUGGUAGGGGAGACUGGAAUUCCUGGUGUAGCGGUGAAAUGCGCAGAUAUCAGGAGGAACACCGAUGGCGAAGGCAGGUCUCUGGGCCAUAACUGACGCUGAGAAGCGAAAGCAUGGGGAGCGAACAGG